GACAAUGGCUCUAUCUAAUCUCUUUCUAGUGUUGUUUCUACCUCUUCUACCCUUAGACCAGGUAAAAGCUGAGCCUUUGGUUGGAAGAUGAAUGAAGUUAUUAACAUCAGUCUAGUUUUGGAAAUCUAGCAUUGGGAUUCUAGGAGGGGGGUGGGAACCUUGAUGCUCAUGUGACCCUAAUAUGGUAUUAAAGUCACCAAUGCAGCACCAAGAUAUAUUGCGUUGGUUUUGG
rnacentral:lncRNA from 1 species